GUGGGGAAUAUUGGACAAUGGGGGGAACCCUGAUCCAGCCAUGCCGCGUGUGUGAAGAAGGCCUUUUGGUUGUAAAGCACUUUAAGCGAGGAGGAGGCUACCGAGAUUAAUACUCUUGGAUAGUGGACGUUACUCGCAGAAUAAGCACCGGCUAACUCUGUGCCAGCAGCCGCGGUAAUACAGAGGGUGCAAGCGUUAAUCGGAUUUACUGGGCGUAAAGCGCGCGUAGGUGGCCAAUUAAGUCAAAUGUGAAAACCCCGAGCUUAACUUGGGAAUUGCAUUCGAUACUGGUUGGCUAGAGUAUGGGAGAGGAUGGUAGAAUUCCAGGUGUAGCGGUGAAAUGCGUAGAGAUCUGGAGGAAUACCGAUGGCGAAGGCAGCCAUCUGGCCUAAUACUGACACUGAGGUGCGAAAGCAUGGGGAGCAAACAGGAUUAGAUACCCGUGUAGUCC
rnacentral:rRNA from 1 species